rnacentral:rRNA from 1 species
GGACCCGCACAAGUAGUGGAGCAUGUGGUUUAAUUCGAAGAUACGCGCAGAACCUUACCAACACUUGACAUGUUCGUCGCGACUUUGAGAGAUCAAAGUUUUCGGUUCGGCCGGACGAAACACAGGUGCUGCAUGGCUGUCGUCAGCUCGUGUCGUGAGAUGUUGGGUUAAGUCCCGCAACGAGCGCAACCCUCACUUUUAGUUGCCAUCAUUAAGUUGGGCACUCUGAAAGAACUGCCAGUGAUAAGCUGGAGGAAGGUGGGGAUGACGUCAAGUCCUCAUGGCCCUUACGUGUUGGGCUACACACGUGCUACAAUGGUAUCUACAACAGGAAGCAAAAUCGCGAGGUUAAGCAAAUCCUUAAAAGAUACCUCAGUUCGGAUUGCACUCUGCAACUCGAGUUGCAUGAAGCUGGAAUU